AGGACUUCAUAUAUAGCUAUAUAUACAGAAUAAAAUAUUAGUUCAAUUAUUGACCGUCUCUGAAGCAAGUGGAAAAGAUUGAGCUUGGUAGUUGGUACCCGAUAUACCAAGUUUGAAUCCUAGUUGAUUCACAUUUCCAACUAAAUUUAUUUUUAAAUGAAAUAAACGAGCCCGUUGUCAUCCCCUUUUUUUUUAUGAUAGAGCUUUCAAAUUGACGACUGGUACCGUUGAACAUGAUCUAUACCAUUUGAAGUAUUUAAAAAUCAAAUUUUUUUCGACAUCAUUAACCUAAUGAUCAAAGGGUUUGAAAAGUUAUAAUCUUGAUGGCCGAGACAUUUUUUCGUUUAACACUGUAAAAAUAUCCAAAUUAAUUGAAUCUUUGUUAGAAGAUAUGAGGCGUAGUUUAGUUAUUGACCGCCUCUGGAGCAAGUGGCAAAUGGCUUGGUAGUUGGUACCCGAUAUCCCAAGUUCGAAUCCUAGUUGAUUCACAUUUCCGAUGUCCCAAGUUCGAAUCCUAGUUGAUUCACAUUUCCAGCUAAAUUUAUUUCUAAAUGAAAUAAACGGACCUGUUGUCAUCCUUCUUUUUUUUUUACGAAAAACUUCAAAAACCCCCCCUGUGGUUUCGUAGUUUUUCACUUUGUCCCACUGUUGUUUAAAAUGUAUCAAUUUGCCCCCCUAUGGUUUCUUUUUUCUCUUUUUCUUCUCAAUUUCAUUAUUUUUUUUCUUAAAUCAGUGAUAAAGUUAAUUUAAAGGGUACUAAAGUGAAUAUUUGAUAAAUCUAGAUGGGUAUCUCAAGUUUUUUGUAUAUAAUUUAAUGAAAUAUUAACGAAAAAGCUACCGAAAAGAUAAAAACGAAACCACAGGGGGGCAAUUUGAUACAUUUUAAACCAUGGGGGGUAAAGUGAGAAACUACGAAACCACAGGGGGUUUUCUGAAGUUUUUCCCCUUUUUAUGAUAGAGCUUUCAAAUUGACGACCGGUACCGUUGAACAUGAUCUAUACCACUUGAAGUAUUUAAAAAUCAAAUUUUAAAGUUUUACGACAUCAUUAACUUAAUGAUCAAAGGGUUUCAAAAGUUAUAAUCUUAAUGGCCGAUAUGAGAUAUUUUUUCGUUUAAUAGUGUAAAAAUAUCCAAAUCAAUUAAAUCUUGGUUAUAAGAUAUGAGGCGUUUUCUUGUUUAACGGUGUUAAAAUAUCCAAAUCAAUUGAAUCUUGGUUAAAAAAUUCUUUAAACUAUUUAGAAUAAGAUCUAUACUCUCGAUCUUAAUUAUAAGAAUUCUAUCAUUAUUUUUUAAAAGAUAUCCAUUUUCAGCCGUUCAUUUUGUGUCCACCUGAUGGACAAGAGAACAAUAUUUGAAAAGCAUGAAAUUUAAUUUCUAAAUACUUCAAGUGGUAUAGAUCAUAUUCAACGAUGCCGAUUGUCGAUUUGGAGUCUCCAUUAUCGAAAAUAAAUGAAUAACAACAAAGCCUGUUUGCUACCGAUAGCAUUGCACCUCAACUCUCUCUCUCUAUAUAUUUAUAUAUUCAUGCAAAAUGGCCAACAUAAAUUAAAUACUUC
rnacentral:lncRNA from 1 species